CCUACGGGACGCAGCAGUGGGGAAUAUUGCACAAUGGGGGAAACCCUGAUGCAGCGACGCCGCGUGAGUGAAGAAGUAUUUCGGUAUGUAAAGCUCUAUCAGCAGGGAAGAAGAAAGACGGUACCUGGCUAAGAAGCCCCGGCUAACUACGUGCCAGCAGCCGCGGUAAUACGUAAGGGGCAAGCGUUAUCCGGAUUUACUGGGUGUAAAGGGAGCGUAGACGGCAUAGCAAGUCUGAAGUGAAAGCCCGUGGCUCAACCGCGGAACUGCUUUGGAAACUGCUAAG
rnacentral:rRNA from 1 species